AUGGAGACGAUAUGGCAUUCACGUGUGGUCUUCGCCGAGAUGACAUGCCUGUCUACGGACAAUUUUAAUCAGAUUGCACCACUGGCCGGCCGGCUCUUCUUCGAGCAAGAGGCGAUCCGUGAAAAUCCGCCCCGCACGACCACCCCGCAACCCGUCCAACCCCACGCCCCCACCCUUCCUCCUGAGCGCCGCCACCCCUCUAGGCCACCGCGUCGCCGGCCCUCUCCCCCACUGCGUCGCUGGCCCUCUGCCCCACCGCGCCGCCGGCCCUCUCCUCCACCGCGCCACCGACCCUCCCCCCACCGUGCUGCCGACCCUCUCUCCCACCGCGCCGCCGACCGUCUGCCCCACAGAGGAUUAGUUCAAGUCCUCGCGCGAGCCACCGCCGGCCACCUUCCUUCGGGGAGCAACCGCCGGCCGCCUUCCUCGCGCGAGCCAUCGUCGGCCGCCUUCCUCCGGCGAGCAACCGCCAGCCGCCUUCCUCCCGUGAGCCACCGCUGGCUACCUUCCUCCGCCGUGUCUGCCUUAGCAUGCCGCGCCGUGUCUCCACUACCACCUCUGUACAAAUGUCUCUCUCCCCCCACGCCAUCCUCUGCACCCCUCGCUCGCGCCACGGCCACAGGUUCACUCCCGUGCGCCAUCCUCGGCUGCCGUACCAUGGCCUGCGCUCAGCUGCUGCGGGUGGAGCCGCUGGGUCGAGGAACUUUGCCUCGACAGUACGAUAACACACUCUGCUGCCGGUGGCGAGAAGAGCUGCGCGCAGGCCACCCGGUGUCCACCAUCGACCCGUCUCAGUCAUCUCCCUCUCAUCCUCUCUCUCUCUGGUCUAUGUUUGUAUUGCUAGAUGUACUAACUGAUGGGAAGUACAUGCCGGGAACAUGCGGUCGUACAUCCUGCUCGAAUCUCUCCUACCCAGCUCCUCACGGUGAAAAUCUGCAGCCUCAUGUCCGCACUUCCAAUUUAUUUCGAAGUGAACUAAUGCUGCUCUUGAUUCAGGCAUGGGGAGAAGGCAGAAAAAUUUUUGUAGAUGCAACAACUAGUUUCUUUUCUUGUGCAAAAAUUCAGGUUGGGAAGCUUAUUUCUUCCAAAGUGAUUGUUUGGGUACUACAAGCUCCCACAGAGUGGAAGCGGUUGUUACAACAGUAUUAUGGAGUAUGUGAUCAGCUCAUGCAGUAUAUACUAUGCACAAAAUGUCUGUACGUGAAAAUUUUACUUCAUGUUACUCGUGAUCUCGCAACUGUAUGCUCACCUGUAUCUCUCAUUGCUUAUUGUUACAUUAAUUUCCGUGGAUUAUGUCAACUUCCCGACAACAGAAGCAUGUACCGCCAGUACAUGUAUUACUACUGCGAAGGUCACCUUAGUGUGCAUUCUCUGUUCAUCUUGCAGGUGAAGGAGCUCCUCUUGGGUUCAUCUUGCAGAUGUGGUGCUGACAGUACUAGGCGUUGGUUGUGUUUGAUCAAAUGCCUAGGAGCACCAAUGAUUUACACAUGGAAUCCGGAUGAUUCUGUUUCUUCAUCCCCCAAGUACUUCAAUGGUGGCUCCUUCCCGGCUGGCUCAAUCACUACUAGAUUUAGCUUGAGAAUAGCAACCAGUUCGAGCUUAGCUGAGAAGAUUAAGAAUCGUUGUGAACCAAGUUCAUGUCGCCAUGCACCGCCUCCACAUUCCCCAGCGGCCGCCACCGCCAUGCGCCACCCCCACAUCCUGUUGCAAAAUGGUAAAGUUCAAGUGUACCAUAUAACUGGAAUUAACCGAUGCAAGUCCAAGAAGGAUUGGCCGGUGCUGCCGGCUGGCGUCAAGUUUGAUCCCAUGGAUCAGGAGCUGAUCGAGCACCUUGAGGCCAAAGUGAGUGAUGACAGUGCGAGAUCUCACCCUCUCUUCAAUUUGUUCAUACUAACCAUCGACGGCGAGCACGGCAUAUGCUACACCCAUCCUGAGAAACUUCCAGGUAUCACACUGAGUGGCCUAAGCAAGCAUUUCUUCCAGUGCAACUCCAGGGAAUUCAAAAGGGGCACGUGGACGCUUCACAAGAUACAUUCAGAGUGCGGCAUGCACGUGAUAUGGCAUAAGACCGGCAAUACCUUGCCGGUGAUGGUCAAUGGCCGGCAGACAACCAGCAAAAAGGUUCUAAUGCUACACACCAACAAGGACUUCGACCAACAGAGGACCAACUGGGUGAUGCACCAGUAG
rnacentral:rRNA from 1 species